rnacentral:rRNA from 1 species
GGGUUGUGAGGUUAAGCGACUAAGCGUACACGGUGGAUGCCCUGGCAGUCAGAGGCGAUGAAGGACGUGCUAAUCUGCGAUAAGCGUCGGUGAGGUGAUAUGAACCGUUAUAACCGGCGAUUUCCGAAUGGGGAAACCCAGUGUGAUUCGUCACACUAUCAUUAACUGAAUCCAUAGGUUAAUGAGGCGAACCGGGGGAACUGAAACAUCUAAGUACCCCGAGGAAAAGAAAUCAACCGAGAUUCCCCCAGUAGCGGCGAGCGAACGGGGAGGAGCCCAGAGCCUGAAUCAGUGUGUGUGUUAGUGGAAGCGUCUGGAAAGGCGUGCGAUACAGGGUGACAGCCCCGUACACAAAAAUGCACAUAUUGUGAGCUCGAUGAGUAGGGCGGGACACGUGGUAUCCUGUCUGAAUAUGGGGGGACCAUCCUCCAAGGCUAAAUACUCCUGACUGACCGAUAGUGAACCAGUACCGUGAGGGAAAGGCGAAAAGAACCCCGGCGAGGGGAGUGAAAAAGAACCUGAAACCGUGUACGUACAAGCAGUGGGAGCCUCUUAAUGGGGUGACUGCGUACCUUUUGUAUAAUGGGUCAGCGACUUAUAUUCUGUAGCAAGGUUAACCGAAUAGGGGAGCCGAAGGGAAACCGAGUCUUAACUGGGCGUUAAGUUGCAGGGUAUAGACCCGAAACCCGGUGAUCUAGCCAUGGGCAGGUUGAAGGUUGGGUAACACUAACUGGAGGACCGAACCGACUAAUGUUGAAAAAUUAGCGGAUGACUUGUGGCUGGGGGUGAAAGGCCAAUCAAACCGGGAGAUAGCUGGUUCUCCCCGAAAGCUAUUUAGGUAGCGCCUCGUGAAUUCAUCUCCGGGGGUAGAGCACUGUUUCGGCAAGGGGGUCAUCCCGACUUACCAACCCGAUGCAAACUGCGAAUACCGGAGAAUGUUAUCACGGGAGACACACGGCGGGUGCUAACGUCCGUCGUGAAGAGGGAAACAACCCAGACCGCCAGCUAAGGUCCCAAAGUCAUGGUUAAGUGGGAAACGAUGUGGGAAGGCCCAGACAGCCAGGAUGUUGGCUUAGAAGCAGCCAUCAUUUAAAGAAAGCGUAAUAGCUCACUGGUCGAGUCGGCCUGCGCGGAAGAUGUAACGGGGCUAAACCAUGCACCGAAGCUGCGGCAGCGACACUAUGUGUUGUUGGGUAGGGGAGCGUUCUGUAAGCCUGUGAAGGUGGCCUGUGAGGGUUGCUGGAGGUAUCAGAAGUGCGAAUGCUGACAUAAG